rfam:Mesocricetus auratus contig128830, whole genome shotgun sequence.
GGAUGUGAGGGCGAUCUGUCUGCGACAUCUGUUACCUCAUUGAUCGCCAGGGUUGAUUCAGCUGAUCUGGCUAGGCGGGUGUCCCCUUCCUCCCUCACGGCUCCAUGUGCGUCCCUCCCGAAGCUGCAAGCUUGGUUGAAGAGGACCAACUUCCCCGAAUAGAGGAGGACCGGUCUUCGGUCAAGGGUAUAUGAGUAACUGUGCUCCCCUACUAGAACCUCCAAACAAGCUCUCAAAUCCAUUUGUGUGCCUGGUGAAAGCUGAGGCAAGAGUGUGGGAAGGGCCUUGUAUAUGUUAAGAUUUUAUUUCAU